rnacentral:lncRNA from 1 species
AAAACCAUAAUUAUACACAGUUGCAUUAGCUGAGAUAAUCAGAAAUCUAGGGAACUCAUAAAGAGCCCAAAUAUUACAUCAUGGCAUCAGAAAGACUGCCAAAAAUUACAAACAUCAAACAGAAAAACAACAGAUCAUCCAAGCAUCCAAAAUAGCAUCCAGAAAAACAUCAUUAACAGGGGGGCCAUCACCACAACUUAGUCUGAGGAGGUAGCAUCUUCUUC